GAUGAACGCUGGCGGCGUGCUUAACACAUGCAAGUCGAGCGAGAAGUUUUGAAAAGAUUCUUCGGAUGAAAUUUAAAAUGGAAAGCGGCGGACGGGUGAGUAACGCGUAGGCAACCUGCCCCAUACAAAGGGAUAGCAUUUGGAAACGAAUAUUAAUACCUUAUGAAACUUAACUAGUGCAUGCUAGGUAGGUCAAAGAUUUAUCGGUAUGGGAUGGGCCUGCGUCUGAUUAGCUAGUUGGUGAGGUAACGGCUCACCAAGGCGACGAUCAGUAGCCGACCUGAGAGGGUGAACGGCCACAUUGGAACUGAGACACGGUCCAAACUCCUACGGGAGGCAGCAGUGGGGAAUAUUGCACAAUGGGGGAAACCCUGAUGCAGCAACGCCGCGUGAACGAUGAAGGCCUUUGGGUCGUAAAGUUCUGUUCUAGGUGAUGAAAACUGACAGUAACCUAGGAGAAAGCCCCGGCUAACUCCGUGCCAGCAGCCGCGGUAAUACGGAGGGGGCGAGCGUUAUCCGGAAUUAUUGGGCGUAAAGGGUACGUAGGUGGCCUUUUAAGCGUAGGGUAUAAGGCAAUGGCUCAACCAUUGUUCGCCCUAUGAACUGGAAGGCUUGAGUGCAGGAGAGGAAAGCGGAAUUCCUAGUGUAGCGGUGGAAUGCAUAGAUAUUAGGAGGAACAUCAGCGGCGAAGGCGGCUUUCUGGACUGCAACUGACACUGAGGUACGAAAGCGUGGGGAGCAAACAGGAU
rnacentral:rRNA from 1 species